rnacentral:rRNA from 1 species
UACGCAGGCAGCGAGCGUUGUUCGGAAUUACUGGGCGUAAAGAGUGUGUAGGCGGUGCUCUAAGUUCGGUGUGAAAUCUCCUGGCUCAACUGGGGAGGGUGCGCCGGAAACUGGAGUGCUUGAGCGUGGGAGAGGAAAGCGGAAUUCCUGGUGUAGCGGUGAAAUGCGUAGAUAUCAGGAGGAACACCUGUGGUGUAGACGGCUUUCUGGACCGUAGCUGACGCUGAGACACGAAAGCGUGGGUAGCAAACAGG